rnacentral:rRNA from 1 species
GGGUUAUGGAGGGUGAGAAUCCCGUCCGGUUGAUCAUUUGCGUUUUACGAUACGCUUUUUAAGAGUCAAGUUGUUUGGGAUUGCAGCUUAAAAUGGGAGGUAAAUUUCUCCUAAGGCUAAAUAACGGCGAGAGACCGAUAGCGAACAAGUACCGUGAGGGAAAGAUGAAAAGAACUUUGAAAAGAGAGUUAAACAGUACGUGAAAUUGUUGAAAGGGAAACGAUUGAAGCCAGUCGUACCUUCGGGUAAUCAGCCUUUCGGGUGCGAUUAUGUGGAGUGUGAGGAGCUUAAACACCUUCAUGUUUUGCUAUAUUCGUACUCUUGGGUGUACUUGCCCGUGUGCUGUAACAUCAAUUUUUUGGUGU